AUGAUAUACGCAACCCACAUCCCCAAGAGGGAGCGGAAGCGUGCUCUCAGGGACGUAUAUGUGUUGGAGCCAGUCGCCCCAAAGUUCAACCCAUGGUCCUCCUGUCCGAUCACCUUCGAUCGCAGGGACCACCCCACUAGUAUCCGUCAUGGCGGAUUCGCCUCACUGGUCCUAGACCCAAUCAUUGACGGAUUUCACCUCACUCGAGUCCUUAUGGAUGGCGGCAGCAGCCUGAACCUGCUUUAUCAGGACACAGUGCGCAAAAUGGGUAUAGACCCCUCAAGGAUCAAACCCACAAAAACGACCUUUAAAGGCGUCAUACCAGGUGUAGAGGCCCAUUGCACAGACUCAAUCACACUGGAAGUGGUCUUCGGAUCCCCGGAUAACUUCUGA
rnacentral:rRNA from 1 species